GAGUUUGAUCCUGGCUCAGGAUGAACGCUAGCUACAGGCUUAACACAUGCAAGUCGAGGGGCAGCAUGGUCUUAGCUUGCUAAGGCUGAUGGCGACCGGCGCACGGGUGAGUAACACGUAUCCAACCUGCCGUCUACUCUUGGCCAGCCUUCUGAAAGGAAGAUUAAUCCAGGAUGGCAUCAUGAGUUCACAUGUCCGCAUGAUUAAAGGUAUUUUCCGGUAGACGAUGGGGAUGCGUUCCAUUAGAUAGUAGGCGGGGUAACGGCCCACCUAGUCAACGAUGGAUAGGGGUUCUGAGAGGAAGGUCCCCCACAUUGGAACUGAGACACGGUCCAAACUCCUACGGGAGGCAGCAGUGAGGAAUAUUGGUCAAUGGGCGAUGGCCUGAACCAGCCAAGUAGCGUGAAGGAUGACUGCCCUAUGGGUUGUAAACUUCUUUUAUAAAGGAAUAAAGUCGGGUAUGCAUACCCGUUUGCAUGUACUUUAUGAAUAAGGAUCGGCUAACUCCGUGCCAGCCGCCGCGGUAAUAC
rnacentral:rRNA from 1 species